rnacentral:ncRNA from 2 species
AAAUAGUAUCAGGGGAGCUUAGGCUGAGAAUAGGUUUUUACCUUAAACCCUUAAAACCUGAAGUGGGUAAUGCCACCGUAGGAAGAUCUCUCAUCUGCUGA